UUUUCUCUUACAAUCUUCCGUUACUCUCUCUCCCACUCACUGAGUAUUUGCACCCACAUUGAAUAUGGCCGAGGCUGCACAACCUAAUAAUGAGCUGUUGGAAUGGCCCAAAAAAGAUAAGCGCUGUUUCCUGCAUGCUGUUUACUGUGUUGGUGAUCUUCACCGCACCAUCAAGUAAUGUUUAGUUGACUUAGAUUGUUGAAAUCUGCUGUGAUGUGUGUUUUGGUAGAGGCUUAAAAUUUCCUUGUUGUUUCUCUCAGGUUAAGCUUUUGAGGAAAAGAGAUCUUCCUGAAGAGAAAUAUGCCAAUGCUUUACUUGGAUUUGGCCCUGAAACAUCCAAUUUUUUUUGUGGAAUUAACUUAUAAUUACGGAGUGACCUCAUACGAUAUUGGAACUGGUUUCGGACAUUUUGCUAUCACAACUCCAGAUG